GCCUCUAUAGCUCAGUGGUAGAGCACUGGUCUCGUAAACCAGGGGUCGUGAGUUCAAAUCACUGGAGGCA
rnacentral:tRNA from 1 species